rnacentral:rRNA from 1 species
GCGAGAGAGCUUGCUCUCUUGGCGGCGAGUGGCGGACGGGUGAGUAAUAUAUCGGAACGUGCCCAGUAGCGGGGGAUAACUACUCGAAAGAGUGGCUAAUACCGCAUACGCCCUACGGGGGAAAGGGGGGGAUCGCAAGACCUCUCACUAUUGGAGCGGCCGAUAUCGGAUUAGCUAGUUGGUGGGGUAAAGGCUCACCAAGGCAACGAUCCGUAGCUGGUUUGAGAGGACGACCAGCCACACUGGGACUGAGACACGGCCCAGACUCCUACGGGAGGCAGCAGUGGGGAAUUUUGGACAAUGGGGGAAACCCUGAUCCAGCCAUCCCGCGUGUAUGAUGAAGGCCUUCGGGUUGUAAAGUACUUUUGGCAGAGAAGAAAAGGUAUCCCCUAAUACGGGAUACUGCUGACGGUAUCUGCAGAAUAAGCACCGGCUAACUACGUGCCAGCAGCCGCGGUAAUACGUAGGGUGCAAGCGUUAAUCGGAAUUACUGGGCGUAAAGCGUGUGUAGGCGGUUCGGAAAGAAAGAUGUGAAAUCCCAGGGCUCAACCUUGGAACUGCAUUUUUAACUGCCGAGCUAGAGUAUGUCAGAGGGGGGUAGAAUUCCACGUGUAGCAGUG